AGUCGAGCGGUAACAGAUCCAGCUUGCUGGAUGCUGACGAGCGGCGGACGGGUGAGUAAUGCAUAGGAAUCUGCCCGAUAGUGGGGGAUAACCUGGGGAAACCCAGGCUAAUACCGCAUACGUCCUACGGGAGAAAGGGGGCUUCGGCUCCCGCUAUCGGAUGAGCCUAUGUCGGAUUAGCUAGUUGGUGAGGUAACGGCUCACCAAGGCCACGAUCCGUAGCUGGUCUGAGGGGAUGAUCAGCCACAUCGGGACUGAGACACGGCCCGAACUCCUACGGGAGGCAGCAGUGGGGAAUAUUGGACAAUGGGGGCAACCCUGAUCCAGCCAUGCCGCGUGUGUGAAGAAGGCCCUCGGGUUGUAAAGCACUUUCAGCGAGGAAGAACGCCUAGCGGUUAAUACCCGCUAGGAAAGACAUCACUCGCAGAAGAAGCACCGGCUAACUCCGUGCCAGCAGCCGCGGUAA
rnacentral:rRNA from 1 species